GAGGAGAGUGGAAUUUCGUGUGUAGGGAUGAAAUUCGUAGAUGUACGAAAAAAUGCAAAAAGUGAAGGCUGCUCUCUU
rnacentral:ncRNA from 1 species